rnacentral:rRNA from 1 species
UACGUAGGGUGCAAGCGUUAAUCGGAAUUACUGGGCGUAAAGCGUGCGCAGGCGGCUUUGCAAGACAGAUGUGAAAUCCCCGGGCUUAACCUGGGAACUGCAUUUGUGACUGCAUGGCUGGAGUGCGGCAGAGGGGGAUGGAAUUCCGCGUGUAGCAGUGAAAUGCGUAGAGAUGCGGAGGAACACCGAUGGCGAAGGCAGCCCCCCUGGGCUGACACUGACGCUCAGGCACGAAAGCGUGGGGAGCAAACAGG